UUAACGGUUAUCGUAUAUUUCCAACAUGAUAAAGGAUGAACGAAGAUAGACUAUGAUGAAUUUUAAUUGGGUGUAGCGAAAAGAAAAAAAGAAAAAGGAGAAGAAAAAAAAAAAGAAAUAAUAAUAAGCGAGCCACGAUAAUAUUUCGUAAAAAUGCCGAAUAAAGGAAUAAAACGCGAUGGUUAAAGACAAAAGAAAAGGAAAAAGAACAAAAAAAAAGAAGUAUAAAAAAAAAAAGAAGAAGAAAGAAAGAAAGAAAGAACAGUUGUAUAUGUAAAUACGCUUAGACUUUGCAAUAUUAUGGAAAUCGCUUAAUCGGCAAAGUACAUAUUUAAAUUUGACUUUGAAAUAACAACAAAGCAGUCGAAGUUCUUUAUGCUGUUGCGUACGUAAAAUAAAACAGAAGGGAUAGGAUGGGAGAGGGGGGUCACUAAAAGGCAAAUGAAGUUAGUUUCUGAGUAUCGAUCAAACUUCAUGGAUCAUUAUUUUUGAUGGCUCAAUAAAUUAUCUCGAGCUUGUAUAGACUAAUGUGUAUUAAUAUAAAUUAAUUCGAAGAGAAAGACGUAUGUAUAUAAUCCGAGAAUGCUUAUACUAUUAUUAUUAAACGAUUUGUUAGAUAUUGAAAAAAAGAGUUGUGAAUAAUUUUAUUACGUGUAUCGUGGAUUCUUUGAAAAUGCAGCAUUUUCAUAAAGAUCGACGAGCCGAGUUGAAUAUUUUUCGAUCUUACCAAUAUGGAUAACAGAAGGAGAAUCAUCAAGGCAACUAUGUACCAACGAUCGAUAAUCCAUCGUUGAAAGUUAGCAAGACUUGCAUCAGAUAGAAGAAGCCUUCUCAAGGUGGCCAGAGGGCCACUUGGAUCAACCUAUGCACGUACAAGGAAAUAACUUACAUAACAUGACAUAAAUCCUCUCAUCGUGGGCACGCGCGAGAUAUGUCGGAACAUCACGAGCAUCGCUUUUUUACUCGACAAAGCUUUGCGGAACUUUGUUAAUGAGAGCAAACAGAAAAUUCGGAUUUGAAAAGGAUGCUUUCAAAGGGUAGACCUACCAGAAGGCUGUGGUUGGACUAAUUGUAAACAAAAGAGAGAAUACACGAGGCAUUGGAUUUAUUUAUACUUUACGACGGAAAGGUACUAAAGUGUGUGUUGAUGGAAAACAAGAAGAUAGAUAACAGACAGAGGACGAGGAGUCGAGCGAGUGAUAGUAGAGUAUCAGUGUUGUUAUGGAUUCCAAACUGUACGGAUCGUAAUCUUGUGGACGAUGGCUUAUACGAAAUUACAUUUUGUAUUCAGGAUACUCUCCGAAAAGGGUCGAAGGUACUUCGACGUGUUCGUGAACAUUUGAAAAAGGUUAGAAGAGAUGAUAGAAGUAUAGAAGAGGAGGUGGAGAAGAAGAAGGACGUUUCGUGAUACUAGUUGGUGGGUUUAUUAAUUAAGUACACCACGAUGGGGACACUAAGACGAGCGAGGAGGAGGAGACUACAGAACUAGGUAGAAACGCACGAAGGUGUCGUAACGUUUCGCUUUUACGAUCUCGUAGAAAGAGGAAGAAGAAGAAGAAGAAGAAGAAGAAGAAGAAGAAGAAGAAGAAGAAGAAGAAGUCUGGUACGGUAUAAUAGUAUGAUGGUGGUUGUACUGGUGGUGAUGGUGGUGAUGGUGAUGAUGGUGAUGGUGGUGAUAUGGUGGUAGAGAAAGUAGAAAACUGUUGGAAGGGGUCGUAACGUCGAAAGGACGAUGCAAUUCGCGAAUGCAAACCACAAAAUCGGACGUAUGCUGGUCGAGCAUCUUUAAGAGUCCUUUUUCAACUCAUCAAACUUCUUUUAUCUCGUAUUUUAGUGAAUAUUUUUUUUUUUUUGUUUUUUUUUUUUUUUUUUUGCUCAAAUUCUUCGACCAUGUAAUUUCUUUUAUAUAUUCAUUGAAGGAUACCAUCCUAAUGUAUUUCAAUAAUCACGAACGAUUUUGUGAUAAAGUGCCAAUGGAUAUUAGUUUAUUAAUAUAUUUAGUUUUCUAAGAAGAAAAUGUUAUAUUAACUUUGUUCCCUCCUUCGAGGGAAAACUUUUAAAUCGACACUUGUUACUUCCAUGCGAGAAAAUCAUUUUAAAUUGUUAUUUUAUAGUUGAAAAAUAAAAAGGGACAGAGAGAAAGAGAGAGAGAGAGAGAGAGAGUAGAAAAAAUAAGAUGUACGGGUAGAAAUAAAAGAAGAAAGAAAAUUUAUUUAUAUAAUUUUCGUACAUUUUGUUUUUAUUACUUUGCGUGGAUUAAAAGGGACAAGAAUUUCUCUCUUUCUCUCUCUCUCUCUCUCUUUGUCUUUCUUUUUCUUUCUUUCUUUCUUUCUUUAGUAUGCCAUAUCAGAUGUAUAUCAGCUGUCGGAGGUUUUUCAUUGCAGUAGAUUUGAAAGUUACGAUCUGACAGAAGUUUUGCGAGAAAACUAUGCAGGUAGAAGAGUGUAGUCGAAGAGAGAACAUUAGGAGGGAAGUGGCGAGAGGUCGUAAGAUCGAAACGACGUCGUAAUCCAAGGACGAAUCUUUUCACAUUUUCUUUUUCUAUAUCUCUUUCUUUCUCUUUCUUGUCCUCGUUGAUCCGUCGCUAUCCGUCCGUUUCGCCAAAGUCAUCGAUUAUGCGAAAACGGUGGCAGGACUUUGUUGAGCUCUCUUUGUCGAUGAACAAAACGAAAAGGAAAGAAAGAGAGAGAGAGAGAGAGAGAGAGAGAGAGAGAGAGAGAGAGAAAUAAAGAGAGAG